GUCACGUGCCAUAGUCGCGCGUCGGCUUUGCGCAUCUCUUGCUUUCGCAUGCGGUGCAGCGCGCUGUUUUAUCGUAUCAUCAGCUAUCUCGUGCAUUCUGCGCAUAUUCGGCGAUGUUGCGGUUAGUUUCGUGCCGAUUUCUGGUUGAUUCGCACUCGUUCUUCGCGGUUCAUUGUAUUGUGUUAGAUUUUGAUUCGGUAAUCCGCGUUGUUGUCGAUGGAAAUUCGAGAAUUCAAUUAUAUUGCAAGUUAAAAGAUGGCCGCAUGCCUAACACUGCAGUCGUUGUAAUCCGCGGUGUUGGUUGCUAAUGGAAUUGGAUCUUAUCACCGCCAUGUUUAUUCUCUUCAUUCGCAUGAUCCAUCAUGUUUGUUACUAGCUGUGCUUUGCUGUCCGCUAAGCUCUGCAUUGGGUUUCAUACGGCGCACGAAUAUCCUUUGCUAUCAGAAGAGGAUAUGGAAAGAUGACACAGCAAUAGUGUCGUUCAACAAUGCGACUGCCGGCGUGACUGACGGUUUAUGCGUUAAUCUUAACGAAGUAGUGUCUCCCAUACGAAUCGUCCAAGUUUGAUGUGCGCGAUGGCAACGUAUUGUAUUGUCAAAUAUUUGCUGCUUGUCGUGCAAUUAUUUUUGCAUACAUUGUAUUAAAACAAACAAAUGAAACCCAUAUCAUCCUUUUUAAUUAGUAUAAUUAGCACCCAUCGAUAUAAUCAUAAAAAAACUACCUAACUUUUAAAAUGAAAGGACGCAUUAUUAUUGUUUAUUUGUUAUUGUACACGCGUUCAUAAUGUGCACCCACUGACUUCAAAUGUAUUUGUUUAUAAUUAUGGCGAUUGAAAAAUGCAAGGUAAAUUAGAUUUGCAGGAUACACUCUACAAUAAAUUUUAAGGGGUCAUAUAUCUGUAGAAAUUUCUGCACAAAUGUUGCUAUAAAAAAAGGUGCAAAGAGUUUACACGGUGUGUGAAAUUUAUGGAUAGCAUAUUGUUUCAAUUGUUUUUCUAUUUGUUUAAAGCGUGUAGAUGCAGCUAUUGUAAUGACCCCAUUAUGUUUAGGUAGGUCAGAACUCAUAAAAAGUAUUGUUGCGCCAAAAAUAUUUUUGUAGAACGGGUAGCGAUGUCUGUUUAUUGUUAUACUGGUUUUUGUCAUGCGCUUUUCUCAGUCCACCCGUAUUGGACCUUUCCUGUAUUUUUGUCUAUUCUUGUGUAUGUUCAUUUCCGUUCUUGUGUGCUUGUAUUAUUUGUGUAGAACUUGAGAAAUCCUGUUAUUGUGAAUAGAUUUUUGUUGAUUUACCUUAGAUGUAAAGUGUAUUGUUACUUGUGUUUUCUGUGCAAAGCUUGAUUUUGUAUUAGUUAGUUUUGCAUUAUUUUCGACGUGUGAGUAAAUGUAUGCAUGUCUCACCUGUUAUCCUUGUAUAGUAGAUUGUAGUUUUUUUGUGUUUAAAUGUGUAUACGUACCUCGUAUUGUGUCCUUAAUAUGUAGAUUUUUGUACAAAAAUAUACUGUCCUUUUGUGUAAAUUA